AUGCCUGCGGGCUCUUCCCAGGCUCGAGCGCCUGGCCUCCCUGGGCACGAGAGUGAGCUUCGAGGCCGCCUCGUGCCCCUGCCUCAGGCAAUGCAACCUCGCCCUGUGAAGGGGCGUCACGGAGGCAACGGCUCGCCGCUACUUUGUGCCACGCACGAAGCUGGAGCUUGCCUCGUUUGUGGGUGCAUCCCGGACGUAACGGGCAUGAUCGUUCGGUUCACUGGACCUGACAGAUGGAUCGUGCCGUCCGUUUCCUCGCCGGCGCUGUCCCUGCUACCUAACCUCCGGCGGCUGCUGGUCGCCGACGUGCCUCGGUGCUGGGACGUCUCGUGGCCGCGCCUCCUCCUUGAGACGGUGCCUUCCCUCGAGACCCUCCAUGUCCACGUUGCCCCGCCGCCUUGCAAAGAGGAAGAGGAGCCCAGCGGCGAUGAGAUAUCGUGGCGGCCCGCCAUGCGUGGGCACCGGCACCUCAAGGAGUUUGUGAUGACUGGUUUUGAAGGGACGGAGAGGCAGGUUUACCUCGUCAGGCUUGUCAUGGGAGUGUGCAGCACGGCGUUGCGCCAUGUCGCCAUGCUCAAGAAGGGGCUUGUUCGGGACAAGGACCACUGGGACUGGGAGAUGGCGACGCAGCAGCAGCACUCACAGUCACAGUGGACCGACGAGGAGAAGGACAAGACGCUUAAACAGAUCAUGAAUGGGGUUCCUUCUUACUCAACCGCUUCUCCGGUUAUAGUUUUUGGAUGA
rnacentral:rRNA from 1 species